GAUGAACGCUGGCGGCGUGCCUAAUACAUGCAAGUCGAGCGAACGGACGAGAAGCUUGCUUCUCUGAUGUUAGCGGCGGACGGGUGAGUAACACGUGGAUAACCUACCUAUAAGACUGGGAUAACUUCGGGAAACCGGAGCUAAUACCGGAUGAUAUUUUGAACCGCAUGGUUCAAAAGUGAAAGACGGUCUUGCUGUCACUUAUAGAUGGAUCCGCGCUGCAUUAGCUAGUUGGUAAGGUAACGGCUUACCAAGGCAACGAUGCAUAGCCGACCUGUGAGGGUGAUAGGCCACACUGGAACUGAGCCACGGUCCAGACUCCUACGGGAGGCAGCAGUAGGGAAUCUUACGCAAUGGGCGAAAGCCUGACGGAGCAAGGCCGCGUGAGUGAUGAAGGUCUUCGGAUCGUAAAACUCUGUUAUUAGGGAAGAACAUAUGUGUAAGUAACUGUGCACAUCUUGACGGUACCUAAUCAGAAAGCCACGGCUAACUACGUG
rnacentral:rRNA from 1 species